UACGUAGGGGGCAAGCGUUGUCCGGAUUUAUUGGGCGUAAAGAGCGUGUAGGCGGUUUGGUAGGUCCGUUGUGAAAACUCGAGGCUCAACCUCGAGACGCCGAUGGAAACCAUCAGACUAGAGUCCGGAAGAGGAGAGUGGAAUUCCUGGUGUAGCGGUGAAAUGCGCAGAUAUCAGGAAGAACACCCGUGGCGAAGGCGGCUCUCUAGUACGGUACUGACGCUGAGACGCGAAAGCGUGGGGAGCGAACAGG
rnacentral:rRNA from 1 species